rnacentral:siRNA from 1 species
CUGCACAGUCUGUUGCCAGACA